UUGGCUGCCAAAUCAGUGGACACACCCUGCAUGUCCCUGGCAGAGGCCUCUCCUACAGAUGAACAACCCCUUAAUUUUAAGGCUAUAGUAAUGGCCUUUCACAACCUUCACCCCAAAGCUGGUAAAAGUGAGACAGCACUUCUUUGCAGUGCAGAUACUCAAUGGAGGAAACAGUGCCAGGCAGCAGUGAAACCAACAGAGACCUCACGUCACCGUUUUGGUGGCCGUUUCAAAGUUCAGCUAGCAGUAGCUACAACCUCAGACAGAUGUUAUCGUCUCAUCCUUGAUAUCAUGGAAUUAUUCAGCCUUGGUAAACUUAAGGAGCAAAGGAAUACAAAAGUCAACACAUGUCUUUCCUUGGAGACUGCUUCAUUUAAAGAUGAGGCAACCCUUUAUAGAAAACAGAAUUAAGAAAUGGUGAUAUCUCCAAAGAAGAAUUCAACCAUCAACUGAAACAGAUUAAACAAGAAAACAAGGGAACUGGAAACAAUCAGGAGGCAGCUGCUGAAGUAUUAGUGCUGCAAGAACAACUGAAAGAGAAGGACUCUUUGAUUCAGGAGCUGAGGACACAGAACCAAGUUCUAAGACAGGAACUGCAUAAAAUGGAAUGUUUAGUUUC